rnacentral:rRNA from 1 species
UGGGGAAUCUUGCGCAAUGGGCGAAAGCCUGACGCAGCGACGCCGCGUGAGGGAUGAAGCUUCUCGGAGUGUAAACCUCUUUCGACCCGGACGAAUACCCGCAAGGGUUUGACGGUACGGGGAGAAGAAGCCCCGGCUAACUACGUGCCAGCAGCCGCGGUAAAACGUAGGGGGCCAGCGUUGCUCGGAAUUACUGGGCGUAAAGGGUCUGUAGGCGGUGCGGUAAGUCCGGAGUGAAAUCUCCAGGCUCAACUUGGAGGCUGCUUCGGAAACUGCCGUGCUCGAGUGUGGGAGAGGCGAGUGGAAUUGCAGGUGUAGCGGUGAAAUGCGUAGAUAUCUGCAGGAACACCAGUGGCGAAAGCGAUUCGCUGGACCACAACUGACGCUGAGAGACGAAAGCUAGGGGAGCAAACAGG